UCCUCUGCCUGCUCGUGGUCACGGUGCCUGGGUCUCCCACCCAUGGCCGUCAGUAUUGGUUCAUAGACUCACCACUAGGUCCAUGGCGGUCAGUAUUGGUUCAGGGCCUCACCACUAGAUCCAUGCCCGUCAGAAUUGGUUCAGGGCCCUCAGGCCUUCUGAGUUAUUCUGCUAUAGCACUCCGGAGCUCGCGCUAACCGUCUUCUCCCUGAGACCAGUCCGACCGCCGGCCGGGGCUACCCACAUGCUGCCUGACCCCCCUCCUCUGGGCCCUGCCAUUCAUAUUCAUAUUUGUUGCCCUCGGUCGCUGACAGAACCAUCUGAUCUUAAAGGGGACAGGUUAUACCACCAGUAAGUGUGAGUGUGAUUAGCCCUAGGGCUGCUCGAUUGUGGAAAGAAUCAUAAUCACGAUUAUUUUGGUCAAUAUUAAAACGAUUAUUUUUGAGUUUGAAAACAUGAUGUAUUUAUUCAGCAAGUCUCUCCCAAAAACACUUUGUAACUGAGGACUUUUAAAUUUUGCCUUGAAAAACGACACAAAA